rnacentral:rRNA from 1 species
GAUAAACGCUGGCGGCGUGCCUAAUGCAUGCAAGUCGAACGGAGUGGCGAACGGGUGAGGAACACGUGGUCGACCUACCCCGGCGUGGGGGAUACCCUGUGGAAACACAGGCUAAUACCGCGUCGCUGGGAGGGGACUGCGGCCGAUUAGCUAGUUGGUGGGGUAAUGGCUUACCAAGGCGAUGAUCGGUAGCGGGUCUGAAGGAUGAUCCGCCACACGGGGACUGAGACACGGCCCCGACUCCUACGGGAGGCAGCAGCAAGGAAUUUUCCGCAAUGGGGGCAACCCUGACGGAGCAACGCCGCGUGCGGGAUGACGCCUCUUGGGGUGUAAACCGCUUUUGCCGAAGAGGCAGUAUUCGGCGAAUAAGGACCGGCUAACUACGUGCCAGCAGCCGCGGUAAUACGUAGGGUCCGAGCGUUGUCCGGAAUUAUUGGGCGUAAAGCGCGCGCAGGCGGUUCUGUAAGCGCCAUGUGAAAGCCCCGGGCUCAACCCGGGAGGGUCAUGGCGAACUGUAGGACUUGAGACCGGUAGAGGCGGGUGGAAUUCCUGGUGGAGUGGUGAAAUGCGUAGAGAUCAGGAAGAACACCGAUGGCGAAGGCAGCCCGCUGGGCCGGCACUGACGCUGAGGCGCGAAGGCGUGGGGAGCGAACAGGAUUAGAUACCCUGGUAGUCCACGCAGUAAACAUGUCGACUCGGUGUGAGCUCGUGCCAUAGCUAACGCGCAAAGUCGACCGCCUGGGGAGUACGGCCGCAAGGCUAAAACUCAAAGGAAUUGACGGGGGCCCGCACAAGCAGCGGAGCGUGUGGUUUAAUUCGACGCAACGCGCAGAACCUUACCAGGGCUUGACAUGCAGAUGCUGCAUGGCUGUCGUCAGCUCGUGUCGUGAGAUGUUGGGUUAAGUCCCGCAACGAGCGCAACCCUCGUGCCCAGUUGUUUCUGGGCAGACUGCCGCUGUGAAUGCGGAGGAAGGCGGGGAUGACGUCAAGUCAGCAUGGCUCUUACGCCCUGGGCGACACACACGCUACAAUGGCCGGGACAGAGCGUCGCCAACCGCAAGGGGGAGCCAAUCGCACAAACCCGGUCUCAGUUCAGAUUGGGGGCUGCAACUCGCCCCCAUGAAGGCGGAGUUGCUAGUAACCGUGGGUCAGCAUACCGCGGUGAAUGUGUUCCCGGGCCUUGCAAGCACCGCCCGUCAAG